GGUGACUCUGGGCACAGUGACCAAAGUCACCUCACUAUGCUCAAAGCUGUCAGAGGGCGAAGCCAAGGACCUGUGCUCCUCCGUCGGUGCUCUGGCUGCCAGGAGCAUCGAAUUUAAAGAAGUGGCCAUGCUGCCGGCAUCAGACCCCACUGUGGCCACAGGGAGAGCCACGGAGUUCAAACAACAGCUCCAGCACCUCGCCAACCAGGUGAGGUCAAAUGAUCAAUUUGACCUCCUCACGCACACCUUGGGGCCAGGAAUGGUAGAGGUGGAUAUUUUUUUUAAGUGUGUUGACACACACAUUGAAAAUAUUAACAAUUAGCAAUUUGUUGUUUGUUGUGUUCAUUCAUUAAAUAUCUUCAUGUUCUA